AAGAAAGGGGGUGCGGGGGCAAAACCAAGGCCUUAAUAUAGCACCAUCAAGGCUGGGUGGGCCCAAGCAAUGGGCUGGUGACCCACCAGUGCAGUGUCCCUAGCAAGUCUGGCCUCUCUGUCCCAGCUUGGCGGGGUGGGGUGAAAGUAACCGGAAAACAGAGAUCACUAGGAGAAACCAGACCUGGAAGUCCGGGGGCCACGUUGAGGCGCCUGAUCAAGAUAAAGACCGAGGGGAAGGCCGGGUGGCUGGGCUCCACCCUCCCUGAGGUGAGGAGUCCCCAGGCCUCCUUGACACGGGAGCCCCAUGUGCUGUGGUGCCCAAACCCACGGUGAGGCCGCAGUUGGCCCGGGAGAGGGUCGCAAGUGCUGGAGAGAGCAGGCCGUCGGUGAGGUGUCUUCUCCCGGACGGGGUUCUGGGGGCGGACGCGGGGUCCGCCGGGAGGUGGCCCCCAUCCGCCACCGUCAGACAGCGAGCACACAACUGUACCCCUCGAGCAAUGUCCCUGGGACGCUUCCCUGUGCCCGUGACCCCGGAGCUGCUGGGCUGUCCUGUUCGGAAGUCCGGGUGCCGGUGGAGGGAGGCGACAGGGCCCCGCCCCGAGGGCUGACCCGCCUGAGGCCUGCCCAGUUGCAAGGGAAGAAUGGGACAGGUGGGAGGAGCCCCUGCGUUUGGUUUCUGUGGACUCGUGGGCAGUGGCCAGCAGCCCGGCCCUGUGUCCAGAGAGACAGGGGACGGAGAUGUGCCUGCUGCUGGCCCCGUGGGAGCUGGAGUAGGACCCGUCAAUGCCCAUCGGAAGGAUGCCUUCCAGGCUUGGAAGGAGACGAAGCCACAGGCAGGUGUCCCUGAGUGCUCCGGGGGCAGAGUGGACGGAGCAGGGGCAGGGCUGCUGUGCAGAGCGGGCCGGGUUUAGACACACCAGGUGCCGGGAACAGCCUCAGUGGCCCGGCAGCCCGGUCCUCAUGGGGACAGCGGUGCUCGGAGGGCAGGCGUUCCCCAUCCUGGCCAGAAGGAGGGCUCGGGUCCCUUCCAAAGGGCACAAACAGAACGUUAGUAGCUGAGGCUAGGGGACUGAAACGACUAUGUAAUGAGGGCCGUGCAGCAGGAGAUGACGCUGCCUCCCAGCGCAGUGCCACGGGAGCCACAGGAGCCACGGGAGCCACGGGAGAGGCGGGACAGCAGCCGGACCAAGCGUAGUCGCUGGCUUUGGACUUUUAUGAUCAUUUUGCUGUAAAGGAUGCGGCCAAAGGCCAAGGAGUGGCCGGUGAUGUCAUUAAAAAAUGAAUAUUGGG